UACGGAGGGUGCAAGCAUUGAUCGGAAUUACUGGGCGUAAAGGGCGCGUAGGCGGUGAGAUAAGUCAGAUGUGUAAUUCCGGGGCUCAACCCCGGAGCUGCAUUUGAAACUGUCUCGCUAGAGUGUAGUUAGGGUAAACGGAAUUCCACGUGUAGCGGUGAAAUGCGUAGAUAUGUGGAAGAACACCAGUGGUGAAGACGGUUUACUGGGCUAUAACUGACGCUGAGGCGCGAAAGCAUGGGGAGCAAACAGG
rnacentral:rRNA from 1 species